UACAGAGGUCCCAAGCGUUGUUCGGAUUCAUUGGGCGUAAAGGGUGCGUAGGCGGCGCGGUAAGUCGGGUGUGAAAUCUCGGGGCUUAACUCCGAAACUGCAUUCGAUACUGCCGUGCUUGAGGACUGGACGAGGAGACUGGAAUUUACGGGUGUAGCGGUGAAAUGCGUAGAUAUCGUAAGGAAGACCAGUGGCGAAGGCGGGUCUCUGGACAGUUCCUGACGCUGAGGCACGAAGGCCAGGGGAGCAAACGGG
rnacentral:rRNA from 1 species